GCCCGAGUGGCGGAAUGGUAGACGCAGCGGAUUCAAAAUCCGCCGCCGCAAGGCGUGGGGGUUCGAGUCCCCCCUCGGGCA
rnacentral:tRNA from 1 species